rnacentral:rRNA from 1 species
CAAUAGCGUAUAUUAAAGUUGUUGCAGUUAAAAAGCUCGUAGUUGGAUUUCUGGUAGGAGUGACCGUUCCGAACUUGAUUGUUCGUGUAUUGUGUUUUCUCCAGCCAUCCUUGUGGAGAACUUUCCUUGCAUUAAUUUGUAGGGAUUGGGACCCGCAUCGUUUACUGUGAAAAAAUUAGAGUGUUUAAAGCAGGCAAUCGCUUGAAUACAUUAGCAUGGAAUAAUAAGAUAGGACUUUGGUACUAUUUUGUUGGUUUGCAUACCAAAUUAAUGAUCAACAGGAACAGUUUGAGGAUAUUCGUAUGAACAUGUCAGAGGUGAAAUUCUUGGAUUUUGAUCAGACGAACUACUGCGAAAGCAUUUAUCAAGGAUGUUUUCAUUAA